rnacentral:rRNA from 1 species
AUUGAACGCUGGCGGCAGGCCUAACACAUGCAAGUCGAGCGGAUGAAGGGAGCUUGCUCCUGGAUUCAGCGGCGGACGGGUGAGUAAUGCCUAGGAAUCUGCCUGGUAGUGGGGGAUAACGUCCGGAAACGGGCGCUAAUACCGCAUACGUCCUGCGGGAGCAAGUGGGGGAUCUUCGGACCUCACGCUAUCAGAUGAGCCUAGGUCGGAUUAGCUAGUUGGUGGGGUAAAGGCCUACCAAGGCGACGAUCCGUAACUGGUCUGAGAGGAUGAUCAGUCACACUGGAACUGAGACACGGUCCAGACUCCUACGGGAGGCAGCAGUGGGGAAUAUUGGACAAUGGGCGAAAGCCUGAUCCAGCCAUGCCGCGUGUGUGAAGAAGGUCUUCGGAUUGUAAAGCACUUUAAGUUGGGGGGAAGGGCAGUAAGUUAAUACCUUGCUGUUUUGACGUUACCAACAGAAUAAGCACCGGCUAACUUCGUG